rnacentral:lncRNA from 1 species
CAGCACAGUAGUUUGACUUAAGUCUUCAAACGACAGUGUUUUGUUCUCUUAUACCUACCUUCUUGAAUUAUUUUUCAAGCAUUUUUUUGCAACAAACAAAACCGAGUUGACAAAAACAAAAAAAAUUAAUAUAAUUAGUCUGCACCAAUAAAAAAAAUAAAGAGUAUCAAAGUCGUCACGUCCCACUUACUAUAUUGGUAUAAGAGAUUCGUUUGACUUGGACAAUCUGAACGUUGAAUAAUUG